rnacentral:rRNA from 1 species
GACGAACGCUGGCGGCGUGCUUAACACAUGCAAGUCGAACGGAAAGGCCCUGCUUUUGUGGGGUGCUCGAGUGGCGAACGGGUGAGUAACACGUGAGUAACCUGCCCUUGACUUUGGGAUAACUUCAGGAAACUGGGGCUAAUACCGGAUAGGAGCUCCUGCUGCAUGGUGGGGGUUGGAAAGUUUCGGCGGUUGGGGAUGGACUCGCGGCUUAUCAGCUUGUUGGUGGGGUAGUGGCUUACCAAGGCUUUGACGGGUAGCCGGCCUGAGAGGGUGACCGGCCCCAUUGGGACUGAGGGACGGCCCAGACUCCUACGUGAGGCAGCAGUGGGGAAUAUUGCACAAUGGGCGGAAGCCUGAUGCGGCAACGCCGCGUGCGGGAUGACGGCCUGCGGGUUGUAAACCGCUUGCGCCUGUGACGAAGCGUGAGUGACGGUAAUGGGUAAAGAAGCACCGGCUAACUACGUG